CGAAAUGCGAUAAGUAGUGUGAAUUGCAGAAUUCAGUGAAUCAUCGAAUCUUUGAACGCACAUUGCGCCCUUUGGUAUUCCAAAGGGCAUGCCUGUUCGAGCGUCAUUUGUACCCUCAAGCUUUGCUUGGUGUUGGGCGUCUUGUCUCCCUUUGCGGGGAGACUCGCCUUAAAGUCAUUGGCAGCCGGCCUACUGGUUUCGGAGCGCAGCACAAGUCGCGCUCUCUUCCAGCCCCAAGGUCUAGCAUCCACCAAGCCUUUUUUUCAACUUUUGACCUCGGAUCAGGUAGGGAUACCCGCUGAACUUAAGC
rnacentral:misc_RNA from 1 species